CUCGUAGGUGGCCAACUAAGUCGGACGUGAAAUCCCUCGGCUUAACCGGGGAACUGCGUCCGAUACUGGUUGGCUUGAGUUUGGGAGAGGGAUGCGGAAUUCCAGGUGUAGCGGUGAAAUGCGUAGAUAUCUGGAGGAACACCGGUGGCGAAGGCGGCAUCCUGGACCAAUACUGACGCUGAGGAGCGAAAGCCAGGGGAGGCAAAC
rnacentral:rRNA from 1 species